GUAGACAUGGCUCAGUCAAUAAAGUACUUGCCUCACAAACAUGAAGACCUGAGUUCUAUUCCCAGUACCUAUA
rnacentral:tRNA from 1 species